rnacentral:rRNA from 1 species
CGGCCGCGGGANNUCGAUUAGAGUUUGAUUCUGGCUCNNNUUGAACGCUGGCGGCAUGCCUUACACAUGCAAGUCGAACGGCAGCACGGGAGCAAUCCUGGUGGCGAGUGGCGAACGGGUGAGUAAUAUAUCGGAACGUGCCCAGUCGUGGGGGAUAACGCAGCGAAAGCUGUGCUAAUACCGCAUACGAUCUACGGAUGAAAGCGGGGGAUCGCAAGACCUCGCGCGAUUGGAGCGGCCGAUAUCAGAUUAGCUAGUUGGCGGGGUAAAGGCCCACCAAGGCGACGAUCUGUAGCUGGUCUGAGAGGACGACCAGCCACACUGGAACUGAGACACGGUCCAGACUCCUACGGGAGGCAGCAGUGGGGAAUUUUGGACAAUGGGCGCAAGCCUGAUCCAGCAAUGCCGCGUGCAGGAUGAAGGCCUUCGGGUUGUAAACUGCUUUUGUACGGAGCGAAACGGCUCUCUCUAAUACGGGGGGCUAAUGACGGUACCGUAAGAAUAAGCACCGGCUAACUACGUGCCAGCAGCCGCGGUAAUACGUAGGGUGCAAGCGUUAAUCGGAAUUACUGGGCGUAAAGCGUGCGCAGGCGGUUAUAUAAGACAGAUGUGAAAUCCCCGGGCUCAACCUGGGACCUGCAUUUGUGACUGUAUAGCUAGAGUACGGUAGAGGGGGAUNGAAUUCCGCGUGUAGCAGUGAAAUGCGUAGAUAUGCGGAGGAACACCGAUGGCGAAGGCAAUCCCCUGGACCUGUACUGACGCUCAUGCA